rnacentral:rRNA from 1 species
GAUGAACGCUGACAGAAUGCUUAACACAUGCAAGUCAACUUGAACUUCGGUUUGGGUGGCGGACGGGUGAGUAACGCGUAAAGAACUUGCCUCACAGCUAGGGACAACAUUUGGAAACGAAUGCUAAUACCUGAUAUUAUGAUUAUAUGGCAUCGUAUAAUUAUGAAAGCUAUAUGCGCUGUGAGAGAGCUUUGCGUCCCAUUAGCUAGUUGGAGAGGUAACAGCUCACCAAGGCGAUGAUGGGUAGCCGGCCUGAGAGGGUGAUCGGCCACAAGGGGACUGAGACACGGCCCUUACCCCUACGGGAGGCAGCAGUGGGGAAUAUUGGACAAUGGACCGAGAGUCUGAUCCAGCAAUUCUGUGUGCACGAUGAAGUUUUUCGGAAUGUAAAGUGCUUUCAGUUGGGAAGAAAAAAAUGACGGUACCAACAGAAGAAGUGACGGCUAAAUACGUG